UACGUAGGUGGCAAGCGUUGUCCGGAUUUACUGGGCGUAAGGAGCGCGCAGGCGGUCGGUCAAGUCGAGUGUGAAAGCCCCGGGCUCAACUGGGGAGGGUCACUCGAAACUGAUCGACUCGAAGGCGGGAGAGGGAAGCGGAAUUCCCGGUGUAGUGGUGAAAUGCGUAGAUAUCGGGAGGAACACCAGUGGCGAAGGCGGCUUCCUGGCCCGUUCUUGACGCUGAGGAGCGAAAGCUAGGGGAGCGAACGGG
rnacentral:rRNA from 1 species